rnacentral:rRNA from 1 species
AAACUUAAAUGAAUUGACGGGGGCCCGCACAAGCGGUGGAGUAUGUGGUUUAAUUCGACGCAACGCGAAGAACCUUACCAGGGUUUGACAUCCACUGAAUACCUAAGAGAUUAGGUCGGCCCCUUCGGGGGACAGUGAGACAGGUGGUGCAUGGCUGUCGUCAGCUCGUGUCGUGAGAUGUUGGGUUAAGUCCCGCAACGAGCGCAACCCUUAUCCUGUGUUACCAGCGUGAAAGACGGGGACUCACAGGAGACUGCCGCCGACAAGGCGGAGGAAGGCGGGGAUGACGUCAAGUCAUCAUGCCCCUUAUGUCCUGGGCUACACACGUACUACAAUGGGUGCAAACAGAGGGCUGCAAUCCCGCGAGGGGAGCUAAUCCCACAAAGGCACUCUCAGUUCGGAUCGCAGGCUGCAACCCGCCUGCGUGAAGUCGGAAUCGCUAGUAAUCGCAGAUCAGCAGGCUGCGGUGAAUACGUUCCCGGGCCUUGUACACACCGCCCGUCACACCACGAAAGUCUGCAACACCCGAAGCCGGUGGGGUAACCGCAAGGAGCCAGCCGUCGAAGGUGGGGCCGAUGAUUGGGGU